rnacentral:lncRNA from 1 species
UGUUAUUUUGAUAGUGACUUUGAUAUUGUUCUCAUACCUUUUCUUAGAAAGAUUCAUGAAAUGAAUUCUUUCUCCUGUUGGGUAAGGUGCUGUAUUUGUUUAUUUCUAAGACUAUUAGUUCAUAUCUCUGGGAAAUCCUUAUAUUCUAAUUGUAUUGUACUCCCUCAAGUUUAUAUUCCCAGUAGAUUAAAACAAAGUUUAUGGUUGUUGUGAAGGGAGUUCACAGAUGUUACUGAUUCAGGAAACUUUCUUUUUCCCACAUAUGUGAAUAUUACACGUAGGCUCUGUGUUAUCAGAUUUUGUAUUGUUUUGAGCAAUAGAAAUGUUUUCCAUUUUAAAUGAUUUAUACUUCUUUAGGGAACAGAGGCAGAGGGACGAACCCUCCCACCUUAUACGCUACAGCAUCUGGCCGCCUUUUUUGCUUGGCAAAGUAGACAUCAUUGCUUCCCUGGUUCCAAAGAUGAUGGAGUUUCUGCACUUCGUAAAGAAUUUCUCAAGUUUGUGUUGCAUAUCUUCUGAAAAAAAGUUCCUCAAGGACUAGAGCUCAACAGUAAGCUGUAAUUAGAGAUAUAAAUAAGUAAUUUUUGUAGUAUUUGACCUAAUGGUACCCUUACUAAUAUGAUGUGUAAGUCAGAUUUAAUUUGAUUGAGUUGAUGGGGUUAAAUAAUGAUCUCACCUUGAAAAUGGCCUAAGUUACUAUACCACUCAGGGAGAAAAAGGAUAUAUUUUGACUGAUAAUCUAAACCCAUAUCUUAUACAUUUAUUUUCUUAUGUCUCUUGUAAUGAAGCACUGUAUCACAAACAAUAGUCUAACACACUGAAAGGGUAAUUAAUUUAUAGCUAGAAAACACAACAAAAUAAACUUGUGACCACUAUGUAAAUUGCA